AUAGUACUCCCUCCGUUCCAAAAGUAUUGUCUUAUAUUUGUCUAGAUAUGAAUGUACCUAGUCAUGUUUAGUAUUUAGAUACAUCAAUUUCUAGACAAACAUAAGACAAAAAAAAUUGAGACGGAGGGAGUAGUAU
rfam:Hordeum vulgare subsp. vulgare, WGS project CAJW01000000 data, contig: morex_contig_1577527